rnacentral:rRNA from 1 species
GGAAUAUUGCGCAAUGGGGGAAACCCUGACGCAGCAACGCCGCGUGAGUGAGGAAGGUCUUCGGAUUGUAAACUUCUGUUGGGUGGGAAGAACUGCCUCCGGGUUAAUACCCUGGAGGUUUGACGGUACCACCUGAGGAAGCCCCGGCUAACUCUGUGCCAGCAGCCGCGGUAAUACAGAGGGGGCAAGCGUUGUUCGGAAUUACUGGGCGUAAAGGGCGCGUAGGCGGCCUGCUAAGUCGGACGUGAAAUCCCUCGGCUCAACCGGGGAACUGCGUCCGAUACUGGUGGGCUUGAGUUCGGGAGAGGAAUGUGGAAUUCCAGGUGUAGCGGUGAAAUGCGUAGAUAUCUGGAGGAACACCGGUGGCGAAGGCGGCAUUCUGGACCGACACUGACGCUGAGGCGCGAAAGCCAGGGGAGC